AUUGAACGCUGGCGGCAUGCCUUACACAUGCAAGUCGAACGGUAACAGGUCUUCGGAUGCUGACGAGUGGCGAACGGGUGAGUAAUACAUCGGAACGUGCCUAGUAGUGGGGGAUAACGGCUCGAAAGAGUGGCUAAUACCGCAUUAGAUCUACGGAUGAAAGCAGGGGAUCGCAAGACCUUGCGCUACUAGAGCGGCCGAUGGCAGAUUAGGUAGUUGGUGGGGUAAAAGCGCACCAAGCCGACGAUCUGUAGCUGGUCUGAGAGGACGAGCAGCCACACUGGGACUGAGACACGGCCCAGACUCCUACGGGAGGCAGCAGUGGGGAAUUUUGGACAAUGGGCGAAAGCCUGAUCCAGCAAUGCCGCGUGCAGGAUGAAGGCCUUCGGGUUGUAAACUGCUUUUGUACGGAACGAAAAGCCCCGGGUUAAUACCCUGGGGUCAUGACGGUACCGUAAGAAUAAGCACCGGCUAACUACGUGCCAGCCGCCGCGGUAA
rnacentral:rRNA from 1 species